CCGUACUUGGUAGUGAGGGGGUCCAGCCCCGUGGACGAGGCUACAACUCGUCGCCUAAUCCUCGGCCACCCUACC
rnacentral:tRNA from 1 species